rnacentral:rRNA from 1 species
UACGGAGGGUGCGAGCGUUAAUCGGAAUAACUGGGCGUAAAGGGCACGCAGGCGGGCUUUUAAGUGAGAUGUGAAAUCCCCGGGCUUAACCUGGGAAUAGCAUUUCAGACUGGGAGUCUAGAGUACUUUAGGGAGGGGUAGAAUUCCACGUGUAGCGGUGAAAUGCUUAGAUAUUAGGAGGAAUACCAGUGGCGAAGGCGACUUGCUGGAAUCUAACUGACGCUGAGGUACGAAAGCGUGGGGAGCAAACAGG